rnacentral:tRNA from 1 species
GGGCGGUUAGCUCAGUCGGGAGAGCGCGGCGUUCGCAAUGCCGAGGUCGUGGGUUCGAGCCCCAUACCGUCCACCA